GGUACUUCAGUGGUAGAAUUCCUGCUUUCUAUACAGGACUCCUAGGUUCGAUUCCUUGCC
rnacentral:tRNA from 1 species